rnacentral:rRNA from 1 species
GACGAACGCUGGCGGCGUGCUUAACACAUGCAAGUCGAACGGAAAGGCCCUGCUUGCAGGGUACUCGAGUGGCGAACGGGUGAGUAACACGUGGGUGAUCUGCCCUGCACUUCGGGAUAAGCUUGGGAAACUGGGUCUAAUACCGGAUAGGAGCCAUCUUUAGUGUGGUGGUUGGAAAGUUUUUUCGGUGUAGGAUGAGCUCGCGGCCUAUCAGCUUGUUGGUGGGGUAAUGGCCUACCAAGGCGGCGACGGGUAGCCGGCCUGAGAGGGUGUACGGCCACAUUGGGACUGAGAUACGGCCCAGACUCCUACGGGAGGCAGCAGUGGGGAAUAUUGCACAAUGGGCGCAAGCCUGAUGCAGCGACGCCGUGUGGGGGAUGAAGGCCUUCGGGUUGUAAACUCCUUUCGCUAGGGACGAAGCUUUGUUGUGACGGUACCUAGAGAAGAAGCACCGGCUAACUACGUG